rnacentral:misc_RNA from 1 species
UGGAAGCAUGGUCUUUUCUAUCACGUUUUUUCUUGUUGAUGCUAAUAUUUACGUGGUUGACAUUAAAACUUAAGCUCAUUUCUUCCUUAUUUAUGGUUAAUUGAAAGCUUAGAUUUGUUCGGGCUCCUGGGAUUGUACGAUCAAUUUAUGGCGGACAAAUGAGUCUGAAACAGAAGGUGAUUUAGUGUCAGUUAAGAAGAGAAAAGUGAAAAACA